GUUUGACAAGGGCAAACCAUCCGAAAGUGUGGGACGCAAAGCCACUGGCCCAAGUCUCAGGGUACUGAGAUACGGUAGCAGGGCUGCCGGG
rnacentral:ncRNA from 1 species